rnacentral:rRNA from 1 species
CCAGACUCCUACGGGAGGCAGCAGUGGGGAAUAUUGGACAAUGGGGGGAACCCUGAUCCAGCGACGCCGCGUGAGUGAAGAAGUAUUUCGGUAUGUAAAGCUCUAUCAGCAGGGAAGAAAGAAAUGACGGUACCUGACUAAGAAGCCCCGGCUAACUACGUGCCAGCAGCCGCGGUAAUACGUAGGGGGCAAGCGUUAUCCGGAUUUACUGGGUGUAAAGGGAGCGUAGACGGCGAUGCAAGUCUGAAGUGAAAGGCGGGGGCCCAACCCCGGGACUGCUCUGGAAACUGCGUCGCUGGAGUACGGGAGGGGCAGGCGGAAUUCCUGGUGUAGCGGUGAAAUGCGUAGAUAUCAGGAGGAACACCGGCGGCGAAGGCGGCCUGCUGGACCGUGACUGACGUUGAGGCUCGAGAGCGUGGGGAGCAAACAGGAUUAGAUACCCCCGUAG